rnacentral:rRNA from 1 species
AGAAUCAACGCUGGCGGCGUGCCUCAGACAUGCAAGUCGAACGCGAAAGUCCCCUUCGGGGGGCAAGUAGAGUGGCGCACGGGUGAGUAACACGUAGGUAAUCUACCUUCGGAUGGGGAAUAACAAUCGGAAACGAUUGCUAAUACCGCAUAAUGCAGCGGCACCUAAUGGUGACAGUUGUUAAAGCGGGGGAUCGAAAGACCUCGCGUCUGAAGAGGAGCCUGCGGCGGAUUAGCUAGUUGGUAAGGUAAUGGCUUACCAAGGCUACGAUCC